CCCGGCUUGGUCAAGUGGUAUGACACCCAGCUAGCUUAACGACUCCUUCGGGAACCGUUUUCUUCUCUUUAAAGAAGGGCACUGGGAGGUCGCUAGUUCGAACCUGGCAACCGGGG